UUUCCGGUUGAUCCCGCCGGAGGCCAUUGCUAUUGGAGUCCGAUUUAGCCAUGCUAGUUGUACGAGUUUACACUCGUAGCAGAUAGCUCAGUAACACGUGGCCAAACUACCCUCUGGAGCACGAUAACCUCGGGAAACUGAGGCUAAUAGUGCAUACCGCUCGACGCCUGGAACUGGCUCGAGCUCGAAACGCUCCGGCGCCAGAGGAUGUGGCUGCGGCCGAUUAGGUAGACGGUGGGGUAACGGCCCACCGUGCCAAUAAUCGGUACGGGUUGUGAGAGCAAGAGCCCGGAGACGGUAUCUGAGACAAGAUACCGGGCCCUACGGGGCGCAGCAGGCGCGAAACCUUUACACUGCACGCCAGUGCGAUAAGGGGACUCCAAGUGCGAGGGCAUAACGUCCUCGCUUUUCGUGACCGUAAGGUGGUCACAGAAUAAGGGCCGGGCAAGAAUCGAAUUCCCG
rnacentral:rRNA from 1 species